rnacentral:lncRNA from 1 species
CACACUAGUUCCCGCACCUUCUUCUCUCUUAUUUCCAAAUUUCUAUCACUGGAUUUUUUCAAAGUUUAUUCAUUUGUAGAAUUCUUGCCAAGGUUGUCCGUUUGUCUAAUUCGUCUCUGGUAUAAGCUCUCAGUUGUGGUACGUUUUUUCUCCAAUUAAUCUUUUUUUUGUUUGACUUAUUUGUGGAAAAACGUUUGCUAGAUUCUUAAAUGUGUAUCACUCUAUCAGUAUUUUUAUCUGAAAUUCACAUGCAUGUCUAGAUAGAUACUCCAAUGAGUAAUUUUGAAUAACUCUUAUUUGAUUUCUCUUUUGAUUAAUUCUCUAAUGGUGUCUGCUUGAGAAAUUACUGACCAAAAUCCUUUAAUGGCGUUUGUCAGUAUUCGCUUUGGUUACAAACUAAUUACUGCCAAAUUAAUCCAUUUUACAGAAAAUUUAUAGUGAUUAUGGGUAAAUUGGUAGUUGACAUUACUCUAGAAACACUAAUACUGUGAUGAAUUUAUCUAUGCAAAGGGAAUAAAUGUUGAAGAAGAAUGUUUGAGAAGCACUUGAAAAUAUGAGGUUCUAAUGAGUUGAUUGUCACUAAAACAACAUUGUGCACACUAAUUUACGCAAGGUGUUUGACAUAUGGCUGAAAGUUGAAACAACUGAAUAAUUUAUUUUUUUUACAGGUAUUCUAGAACAGAGUCCUCUGGAAGGUACAUUAUUUACUUCUACUCAGUUGUAUCAGUAAACAAUACAUGUGGUAUUUAUCACUGUGCUUAUCAAUCUUUCUAUGAGGUAUAAUAUGUGUUUUUGGAUUGAAUUGCUGGAUUUUAUUUGCAUUGACUUUCUGAUCUUUUAGGUUAUGUUAAAGUAUGAAUGUUGAAUUAAAUUCGUAAGAUUUAAAGAAAACUAUAAUCAAGCAUGUGUGUGCUUACAAUGGAACAUGGAGGUGCACAAGGAUGAUAAGAAGAAAAUGGAAUGACGAAUGAGAGAAAAUGAAAAGUGAUGCUGAGCCAACUUAUAUAUUUGAUAGAAUUCAAAGAAGCUGCGGCGAAAUUGCUUAUUAGUACAUAACUAGGAUACAACGAGAGUGAAUCUUUUUACUUUAUUUAUUUCUACUAUAUUUAUUUAUCUAAUGACAUGAUUUACCAUUAUAUAGGUUGAUAUAGUCAGAGGAGAACUGAAAACCAGCAUUUACAGAGAGGGGAGCUUGAACUUGAAUUUCAUGCCACCAAGAAACAAAUGAACAAUGUAAAGAGCAGUGAUGCUGAUUGGAAAAGUUUUUAACAACUUUACAAUGUGACAUGAAUUCUCAAAUAUAAGACCCAUUUAGGUUUCUAAUUAUUUCAAUACCUAUGUGUACAUGCAUCUAGAGGGAAAAGGGAAAAGUCUUCAAGAAGCGAGUGAGCGAAUACAAUGAUCUAUUAUUACACCUCAAUGAUAUAGGUUAAAAUUUUAUUGUUGUUGAUCUAUUAUUACACCUCACCAGUUUGUUACUAUUAACUAUUAUAUUCCGAACCUUUUCUCAGAUGGAGAAUCUUGAUCACAAGAAGAGGAUCCUUAUCAAAAAUCAUUAGAAGAGUGUCAUCGAAAUAAAGAAGUUGUCCAGUCAGAAAAACCUCCAACAUCAUUAUAAUUUAAGGUUAGUACUUUUGUAACAAAGCUUAGACUUACCAUACUCUCAAGAUCAUCCUUCAUAAAAAUGUUAUUUUUCGCAACAGCACUCAUCCUCAUUGGUUUUUUAUAUACAUCACAGGAAGAGAAUAAUUUAUUGAAAAAUUAGAAUUAUGACCUUGUUAAGCUGCAUAAACUGAAGCAAUUCAUUGGAGAGUCAGGGAAGACCUGGCUUACUUCCGUCAAACUAAUCCUCUAUAUAUAUUAAUAGAGCUAAUAUUGGAGAACAAGUUGAAGGUUAGUUCUUUUUAGAAUUUAAUUGUCUAGGAGGAAUUUCAAUGUGACUUUGGGACAUGAUUCAAAUGUUUCAUAUUUGUUGAUACAUUUAACCGUGCACUUUUAGUUAAUUGCAGUUCAUUUUAUCAAAAGUCACAUCAUGUGGUACUACAGAAGAAAGCUGGUUCUUCUUUCCUAUCACGCACCAGAGAGGAAGUGAAGCAAUUGCUACUUAGCUUGAGGGCAAAUGAUGUUGGCGUUGUAAUUUGAGAAUGGAACAUUUAGGAAAUACUUUGUGAUCUCAAAACUUACCAGAAUGUUAAACUAGAAAUGUUUGAAGUAUCUUAUAUGAUCGAAUAAUUGAGUUAGUUGCUUAUCCAUUCUCAAAGUUCAUUUACAUGCCUUUUUUU